rnacentral:rRNA from 1 species
AUUGAACGCUGGCGGCAUGCUUUACACAUGCAAGUCGAACGGCAGCGGGGUAGUGCUUGCCCUACUGCCGGCGAGUGGCGAACGGGUGAGUAAUAUAUCGGAACGUACCGAGUAAUGGGGGAUAACCAAUCGAAAGAUUGGCUAAUACCGCAUACGUCCUGAGGGAGAAAGCGGGGGAUCGCAAGACCUCGCGUUAUUCGAGCGGCCGAUAACUGAUUAGCUAGUUGGUGGGGUAAAGGCCUACCAAGGCGACGAUCAGUAGCGGGUCUGAGAGGACGAUCCGCCCCACUGGGACUGAGCCACGCCCCAGCCUCCUCCGGGGGGCACCGGUGGGGAUUUUUGGACAAGGGGGGCAACUCUUACCCCGCCUUGCCGCGUGUAUAAAGAGGGCCUUCGGUUUGUAAUGUUCUUUUUUUGGGGAAAAAAAGGAAAGUGCUAAUCCCUUUUUUUGCUGACGGUACCUAAAAAAAAACCCCCGGCUAACUACGUC